GGAACGGAGCGUUAUGGACUGACUGAAGCCCCCAUUCCUGCCUCCUCGUCCCAUUACCUUGCGCUGCUCAGGAGGAAGAGCUUUGCAGUUUCCUUCUGUUCUUUAGGAAACUUAUUAAAAAAUCUGAUUGAAAUAAACGUUUGUGUGGGGAAAAUACAGAUGGCUGAACAGAUGAUCAACGCAUGAAAAAGGAUUCUUAUUAUCUUGGAAACACAGGUGUCACUCGGAACACUGGUACCUGUCCAGACUGUGGUUAAUAUCAUCAAGAUAACUGAACUCAAAAGGAGCA